rnacentral:rRNA from 2 species
CUAAUACAUGCAAGUCGAACGAACUCUGGUAUUGAUUGGUGCUUGCAUCAUGAUUUACAUUUGAGUGAGUGGCGAACUGGUGAGUAACACGUGGGAAACCUGCCCAGAAGCGGGGGAUAACACCUGGAAACAGAUGCUAAUACCGCAUAACAACUUGGACCGCAUGGUCCGAGCUUGAAAGAUGGCUUCGGCUAUCACUUUUGGAUGGUCCCGCGGCGUAUUAGCUAGAUGGUGGGGUAACGGCUCACCAUGGCAAUGAUACGUAGCCGACNUGAGAGGGUAAUCGGCCNCAUUGGGACUGAGACACGGCCCAAACUCCUACGGGAGGCAGCAGUAGGGAAUCUUCCACAAUGGACGAAAGUCUGAUGGAGCAACGCCGCGUGAGUGAAGAAGGGUUUCGGCUCGUAAAACUCUGUUGUUAAAGAAGAACAUAUCUGAGAGUAACUGUUCAGGUAUUGACGGUAUUUAACCAGAAAGCCACGGCUAACUACGUGCCAGCAGCCGCGGUAAUACGUAGGUGGCAAGCGUUGUCCGGAUUUAUUGGGCGUAAAGCGAGCGCAG